UGGUCCUGGCCUUAUAAUCAAUUUUAACUCAACUUACACAUGCAAGUCUCCGCAACCCUGUGAGAACGCCCUUAAAUCCCCCUCAGGGAUCAGGAGCUGGUAUCAGGCUCGACCCUCAGCCCAUGACACCUAGCUAUGCCACUCCCACACGGGUAUUCAGCAGUGAUCAACAUUGAAUAUAAGCGCAAGCUUGAUUCAGUCAGAGUUUACAGAGCCGGCAAAUCUGGUGCCAGCCGCCGCGGCCAUACCUCGGGCUCAAAUUGACUAUAUUCGGCGUAAAGCGUGAUUAAAGCGACCAUAAACUGCAGUUAAACCAAGCCUAAGAUGUUUUAAAUCUCGAGCCUGGGAAGUUCAAAAACGAAAGUAACUGCAAAACGACCCACUUGACUUCACGACAGUUAGGAAACAAACUGGGAUUAGAUACCCCACUAUGCCUAACCGUAAACUUUAAUUUACACCCAAAUCGCCAGGGAAUUACGAGCAACGCUUAAAACCCAAAGGACUUGACGGUACCCCAUCCCACCUAGAGGAGCCUGUCCUGUAAUCGAUACCCCCCGUUCAACCUCACCACUCUUUUCCAGUUUGUAUAUCGCCGUCGUCAGCCUACCGCGUGAGCGAUCUCAGUACGCGAGAGGACUGUCCGCCAAAACGUCAGGUCAAGGUGCAGCAUAUAGAGUGGGAAGAGAUGGGCUACACUCUCUAACUUAGAAUAUACAAAUGACUUUAUUGAAACAUUGGUCUGAAGGUGGAUUUAGUAGUAAAAUGAGACAAGAGAGCUCAUUUUAACCAGGCUAUGGGGUGUGUACACACCGCCCGUCACCCUCUUCGAGAACUUAAACAAUAGUAUGUAACGCCCUAUAAUAAUAGAGAAGAGGCAAGUCGUAACANNNNNNNNNNNNNNNNNNNNNNNNNNNNNNNNNN
rnacentral:ncRNA from 1 species